rnacentral:rRNA from 1 species
UGGGGAAUUUUGCACAAUGGGGGAAACCCUGAUGCAGCGACGCCGCGUGAUUUAGAAGGCCUUCGGGUUGUAAAAAUCUUUUCUAUGGGAAGAAAAUGACAGUACCAUAGGAAUAAGGACCGGCUAAUUACGUGCCAGCAGCCGCGGUAAUACGUAAGGUCCGAGCGUUGUCCGGAAUCAUUGGGCGUAAAGGGUACGUAGGCGGGUAAGCAAGUUAGAAGUGAAAUCCUAUAGCUCAACUAUAGUAAGCUUUUAAAACUGCUCAUCUUGGGGUAUGGAAGGGAAAGUGGAAUUCCUAGUGUAGCGGUGAAAUGCGCAGAUAUUAGGAGGAAUACCGGUGGCGAAGGCGAGUUUCUGGCCAUAACCUGACGCUGAGGUACGAAAGCGUGGGUAGCAAACAGG